rnacentral:rRNA from 1 species
GUCUAUGGCUAUGCCACCCUGAACAAGCCCGAUCCCAUCUGAUCUUGGAAGCUAAGCAGGGUCGAGCCUGGUUAGUACUUGGAUGGGAGACCACCUAUGAAGACCAGGUGUUGUAGGUG